UAAUACGUAGGUGGCAAGCGUUGUCCGGAUUUACUGGGCGUAAAGGAUGCGUAGGCGGAUAUUUAAGUGGGAUGUGAAAUACCCGGGCUCAACUUGGGUGCUGCAUUCCAAACUGGAUAUCUAGAGUGUGGGAGAGGAAAAUGGAAUUCCUAGUGUAGCGGUGAAAUGCGUAGAGAUUAGGAAGAACACCAGUGGCGAAGGCGAUUUUCUGGACCAUAACUGACGCUGAGGCAUGAAAGCGUGGGGAGCAAACAGGAUUAGAUACCCUGGUAGUCCACGCCGUAAACGAUGGGUACUAGGUGUAGGGGGUAUCGACUCCCUCUGUGCCGCAGUUAACACAAUAAGUACCCCGCCUGGGGAGUACGGUCGCAAGAUUA
rnacentral:rRNA from 1 species